CAAUUAAGCAAGAGCUCAGCACGACUGGGCGAGCAGACCAAUGAGUAGUCAUACUCGUUGAUCAAUAAUCCUCACAGCCUGACCAACUGUGGGGAAUGAGCGUGUUUGCGUGACACGGCACGCAUUCACGGUGAAGAGAGAAAAAGCGAAAAAAAGAGCUACCCUAAAGCUCAUGAAAAUGGUUUGAUCGCGUAUCCCGGCGCUUUCUUCCAUAUAUAUAAAGCAUUGCACAAAUAAUGAGUUUUGAGCUGGGGCUCAUUAGUGCACAUUACGAUUGCAUGGUUGUGGCAACCGGUGAUCGUUAACUGCAGCUUUGUCUGCCUACGGUGGAGCGAUCCAGUUCUGCCUUUCGCCUGUGCCUGGUACAUUCGUGUACCUACGCACAGUUCUGGUUGUGACAGGGUGCCUACCCGUCUGAUGCUCUUUGUUAUGCUUGCCGUCUGUAGAUGGUCAGUCCAUAUCAGGAGUGACGGGAUGUGCUGUCAAAAUUGGCAGUGCUAGGCUUAAUGAGUGGUUCGACAUAACGAGCUACGGCUCAGCCACCGCCCUGUUUGCUGUUUGUUGCAACAAAAUCCCAUAUUACACUGUUCAAGUGGUUCAGAUCGGACAUUGCUCACCCAACCGGUUUGAAUCAUUGCCCGACAUGCACCUGGUCUCGUACUGGAAUGCAUGUGCAGUCGCCUGGCGGUGCCUUAUCCUGGGCUAGACUGAGUAACCAAGCGUCGCUCAUCCGAAUCCCUGGAUGUUCGAUGUGAGUACAACUCUGUGCGGUGGAUCACUCGGCUCGUGUGUCGAUGAAGAGCGCAGCCAACUGUGUGAAUUAAUGUGAACUGCAUACUGCUUUGAACAUCGACAUCUUGAACGCAUAUUGCGGCCAUGGGUUAGCCUGUGGCCACCCCUGUCCGAGGGUCGGCUUAUAAACUAUCGCGACGCCCAAAAAGUCGCGGCUUGGGUCUUGCCAGCUGGCGUGAUAUCCCCUAUUUGGUCUUGUGCCUUUGUGGGGUGCCAGAACUAUGGCGUUUCCCUAAUGUACCCGGACGCACCAUGUUACGGCUAAAAGCCUUGACGAGAUGUGUCGAUAGAGUCGUGGCUCAGUUAUAUAUUUUAUGUGCGCGCUCUACCGUCAUGUUUUGUCUAUGGUUGGCUUGCUGUGGGUGGUUGUGUACCGAUGCUGACUAAUGUAUGUGCCAUAUGGCUCAUCAUUU
rnacentral:misc_RNA from 1 species